AGAGUUUGAUCCUGGCUCAGGAUGAACGCUAGCGGCAGGCUUAACACAUGCAAGUCGAGGGGCAGCAUGGGAGUAGCAAUACUUCUGAUGGCGACCGGCGCACGGGUGCGUAACGCGUAUGCAACCUACCUGUAACAGGGGGAUAACACUGAGAAAUCGGUACUAAUACCGCAUAACACUAUGAGAGGCAUCUCUUGUGGUUGAAAGUUUCGGCGGUUACAGAUGGGCAUGCGUUGUAUUAGCUGGUUGGUAAGGUAACGGCUUACCAAGGCGACGAUACAUAGGGGGACUGAGAGGUUAACCCCCCACAUUGGUACUGAGACACGGACCAAACUCCUACGGGAGGCAGCAGUGAGGAAUAUUGGUCAAUGGACGGAAGUCUGAACCAGCCAUGCCGCGUGCAGGAAGACGGCUCUAUGAGUUGUAAACUGCUUUUGUACAAGGGUAAACCUGAAUACGUGUAUUCAGCUGAAAGUACUGUACGAAUAAGGAUCGGCUAACUCCGUGCCAGCAGCCGCGGUAAUACGGAGGAUCCAAGCGUUAUCCGGAUUUAUUGGGUUUAAAGGGUGCGUAGGCGGAUUGAUAAGUUAGAGGUGAAAUGUCCGGGCUCAACUCGGGAACUGCCUCUAAUACUGUUGAUCUAGAGAGUAGAUGCGGUAGGCGGAAUGUAUGGUGUAGCGGUGAAAUGCUUAGAGAUCAUACAGAACACCGAUUGCGAAGGCAGCUUACCAAUCUAUAUCUGACGUUGAGGCACGAAAGCGUGGGGAGCAAACAGGAUUAGAUACCCUGGUAGUCCACGCAGUAAACGAUGAUAGCUCGUUGUCGGCGAUACACAGUCGGUGACUAAGAGAAAUCGAUAAGCUAUCCACCUGGGGAGUACGUUCGCAAGAAUGAAACUCAAAGGAAUUGACGGGGGCCCGCACAAGCGGAGGAACAUGUG
rnacentral:rRNA from 1 species